UACGGGGGGGGCAAGCGUUGUUCGGAAUUACUGGGCGUAAAGGGCUUGUAGGUGGCCAACUAAGUCAGACGUGAAAUCCCUCAGCUUAACUGGGGAACUGCGUCUGAUACUGGAUGGCUUGAGAUUGGGAGAGGGACGCGGAAUUCCAGGUGUAGCGGUGAAAUGCGUAGAUAUCUGGAGGAACACCGACGGCGUAGGCAGCGCCCUGGACGACACCUGACGCUGAGGCACGAAAGCUGGGGGAGCGAACAGG
rnacentral:rRNA from 1 species